UACUACAAACCUAGGCUAUAUGGUAGUAAUCUUAUGUGACCACCGUCAUAUAUACAGUCCAUCUUUGACUGAAAUGUCAUUAUGUAGGGC